GGAGUGCGUAGUAGCUCACUAGUUCGAGAUGACACUGCGCCGAAAAUGUACCGGGGCUAAACAUAUUACCGAAGCUGUGGAUUGUCCUUUGGACAAUGGUAGGAGAGCGUUCUAAGGGCGGUGAAGCAUGAUCGCAAGGACAUGUGGAGCGCUUAGAAGUGAGAAUGCCGGUGUGAGUAGCGAAAGACGGGUGAGAAUCCCGUCCACCGAUUGACUAAGGUUUCCAGAGGAAGGCUCGUCCGCUCUGGGUUAGUCGGGUCCUAAGCUGAGGCCGACAGGCGUAGGCGAUGGAUAACAGGUUGAUAUUCCUGUACCACCAUUAUUCGUUUUAAGCGAUGGGGGGACGCAGUAGGAUAGGCGAAGCGUGYUGUUGGAGUGCACGUCCAAGCAGUGAGAUUGAGUGUUAGGCAAAUCCGGCACUCUUAAGAUUGAGCUGUGAUGGGGAGAGGAACUUGUUCCUCGAGUCGUUGAUUUCACACUGCCGAGAAAAGCCUCUAGCUAGAAUAACGGUGCCCGUACCGCAAACCGACACAGGUAGUCAAGAUGAGAAUUCUAAGGUGAGCGAGCGAACUCUCGUUAAGGAACUCGGCAAAAUGACCCCGUAACUUCGGGAGAAGGGGUGCUCUUUGAGGUUCACGCUUCGAAGAGCCGCAGUGAAUAGGCCCAAGCGACUGUUUAUCAAAAACACAGGUCUCUGCUAAACCGUAAGGUGACGUAUAGGGGCUGACGCCUGCCCGGUGCUGGAAGGUUAAGAGGAGUGGUUAGCGCAAGMGAAUG
rnacentral:rRNA from 1 species